CCUACGGGGGGCAGCAGUGGGGAAUAUUGGACAAUGGGGGGAACCCUGAUCCAGCCAUGCCGCGUGUGUGAAGAAGGCCCUCGGGUUGUAAAGCACUUUCAGUGAGGAAGAACGCCUGGUGGUUAAUACCCAUCAGGAAAGACAUCACUCACAGAAGAAGCACCGGCUAACUCCGUGCCAGCAGCCGCGGUAAUACGGAGGGUGCGAGCGUUAAUCGGAAUUACUGGGCGUAAAGCGCGCGUAGGUGGCUUGAUAAGCCGGUCGUGAAAGCCCCGGGCUCAACCUGGGAACGGCAUCCGGAACUGUCAAGCUAGAGUGCAGGAGAGGAAGGUAGAAUUCCCGGUGUAGCGGUGAAAUGCGUAGAGAUCGGGAGGAAUACCAGUGGCGAAGGCGGCCUUCUGGACUGACACUGACACUGAGGUGCGAAAGCGUGGGUAGCAAACAGGAUUAGAUACCCUUGUAGUC
rnacentral:rRNA from 1 species